UACGGGGGGAGCAAGCGUUGUUCGGAUUUACUGGGCGUAAAGGGCGCGUAGGCGGCGCAACAAGUCACUUGUGAAAUCUCCGGGCUUAACUCGGAGCGGCCAAGUGAUACUGUCGUGCUAGAGUGCGGAAGGGGCAACUGGAAUUCUCGGUGUAGCGGUGAAAUGCGUAGAUAUCGAGAGGAACACCUGCGGCGAAGGCGGGUUGCUGGGCCGAUACUGACGCUGAGGCGCGAAAGCCAGGGGAGCGAACGGG
rnacentral:rRNA from 1 species